rnacentral:rRNA from 1 species
UUUGUUGGAGAGUUUGAUCCUGGCUCAGGAUGAACGCUGGCGGCGUGCCUAAUACAUGCAAGUCGAGCGGGGCAUUGGACUGGAA